rnacentral:snoRNA from 1 species
UCCUUCCUGGGAUCACGUCUGCAGAGUGGCUUGUAUUCUGGCAGCUUCGGAAACAGGAGGGCAAGCAGGCCUGGCAAAGGCACCCAUUCCAUUCCCAGCUUGCUCAGCAGCUGGCCACUGGGAGAGACUCUGCAACAGUG